AAGCAGCGUCCUGAGGAGACAGCGGCACGUUCUAGCUGCGUCUGCGGCCAGCCCGUGCCAGUGGAGUGGGCUCCGCGUUGCUCAUUCUCUCCGACAGGUUGUCAGCCUCUGUCCCCGCUGCACAGGGUCUUGCCCCUUCUCCGGGGCCUGUGCCAGCUCCCUUCCCUCCCCGUUGUCCUGUCCCCACAGCCAUUCUGGGAGCUGGGGAACCUGGUCUCAAGGCAGGCCCUGCAGUUCCACAGAGGUGGCAGGUCUUGCCCUUUGGCCAACAGAUUUCUUGUCCUGCCUUCUAGAUGCCUCUGAGCUCCAAACCCAGGGCAGCCAUGGCUUCUCAUUUACACCAACAGGUUUCAGUUCCAACAGAAAGGUCGGGGUAGGUUCGUGCAGAGAUGGGGCUGGCAGGGGGGCUAUGGGAGGAUUAUUUUAACAGAUCAAGAAAAUGAAGCCAAAUCAAGUGAAUUAAAUUCCUCACAAUUAUUUUCUUUCCCUGAGGUUUGAUUGGCACAGCAGCAAAAGUUGAGGCCACCCCACUUGUGUCCACUGUUUUUAGAAAAAAAUGAAUGGCUUCCUGCCAUUGUGGGGCUGGACUCUUGGGCUUUCUUGGUGGGAGCGGAGAAGGGGCCUCCCACCCUUGUCCGAGUUGCCUCCCACUGGAGGUCAGGAGUCUACACUGCAGCCUCGGGCACUGUGGGGAGUGCAUGCCUGGGGCCUCUGGGUGGGGACCAUGGACAGGCCCUGGUCACUGUCCUAACCUUUGUCAGGACAAAGGUAGCAAGAGGAUUUCCUGGCGGGUGGGAAGGAAUGGCUGGGGCGGCCAGUUUUGACACGCCCCAGUGCCCUGGAGAACAACCAGGGUCAUCUGCACUUGAUGACUGCUCCCCGACCCCCAGCCCGGACACCUCAUUCCCCUCCCACUACAGGGAUCAAGUGACCUGGGAAGAACCGAGUUUAACACCAGGAUGUGUUUCCUUAGAUUUCCUUUCCUAGGCGAUUUCCAGGGAGAGCCCUGAUUGGACAAUCACAUCACAGAUCACACUGCAGUUUCCAUGUUAGCACUGUGGAUGGGUUUUUAAUCAAUAAAAACUGGGGGUUUCUUCUCACCGACUCUCCACUUGCCCAAACUGCCAAAAGCUGGUGAUUCUGGGACAGGCCUUCACUUUGGAGCCACGGGAUGGGGUGGGGGAGCCCCAUGGGCCUGGGAAGGAGGGUGCUGUGGAGGGGGCUGCAGGGCUGACCAGCAGGCAGCCUCAUCUGGUCGGGGGCGGGGGCGGCAGGAGCAGAAGCGGGGUCUCCGUCCUUGGGACUGUCCUGGUUGGCCACGGGCCCUGAGGAUGCACGGUGCCUGGGGCUCCUGUGCCGGUGGGCGGGGGGCAUGCUGGCCUCUGAGCGAUCAGGCGAGGCCAGCGAGGGUGUGCUUGCAAAUUCAAGCAAUAAGAGGGGGGUUCCUGGGGGCUUCCAGCCCAGGCUAGAAGCCCCCAUGGCUUCUGGCAGCUGGACAUCAGCCCCAGGUAUUGGGGUGAUUUUGGUCAUGACAGUGUGCCUGUCCCACUGUUACACGCAUGAAUGGGGGUUAUGGGGUGGGGGUGGGGACUCAGGGCUGGACCGACGUCCUAGUGGACCUGAUGUGAAAUUCCUGUCAAACAAACACCACUUUUCAAUGGUUUGCUAGGAGUAUUUCUGUAUUGAAAGUUUCUAAUUAUGCUUUUUAAAAAAAUACUAAAAAUAAAGGUUCAAGCUGCCAAA
rnacentral:lncRNA from 1 species